AAUCAACGCUGGCGGCGUGCCUCAGACAUGCAAGUCGAACGCGAAAGGUUCCUUCGGGAACCGAGUAGAGUGGCGCACGGGUGAGUAACACGUAGGUAAUUUGCCUUUGGGUGGGGAAUAACUCAGGGAAACUUGAGCUAAUACCGCAUAAUGCAGCGGCUCGACAUCGAGACAGUUGUUAAAGCGGGGGAUCGCAAGACCUCGCGCCUAAAGAGAAGCCUGCGGCAGAUUAGCUAGUUGGUAGGUUAAUGGCCUACCAAGGCAACGAUCUGUAACCGGCCUGAGAGGGCGGUCGGUCACACUGACACUGACAUACGGGUCAGACUCCUACGGGAGGCAGCAGUCGGGAAUUUUGGGCAAUGGGCGAAAGCCUGACCCAGCAACGCCGCGUGAAGGAUGAAAUUUUCGGAAUGUAAACUUCGCAAGAACGGGAAGAAUAAGUAGAAGAUAAUACCUUCUAUGAUGACGGUACCGUUUGUAAGCUCCGGCU
rnacentral:rRNA from 1 species